rnacentral:rRNA from 2 species
CCCGGGGAACUGAAACAUCUAAGUACCCGGAGGAAGAGAAAGCAAAUGCGAUUUCCUGAGUAGCGGCGAGCGAAACGGAAACAGCCCAAACCAAGAGGCUUGCCUCUUGGGGUUGUAGGACACUCAACAACGGAGUGAUCAAGAAACGGAGUAGGUGAACUGUCUGGAAAGGCAGGCCGAAGAAGGUAACAGCCCUGUAGCUGAAACUUCGUUUCCUCCAGAGUGGAUCCUGAGUACGGCGGGACACGUGAAACC